ACCCCCCUCCCUCUCUCGCUCUAUAAAUCUUUCCUGGCACUCGGGAAAUUUGUCAGAGCCCGGAGGAUGAAAGAUCAGAGAGGCCAAGCAUCGAUCGACUAGUUGUUUGGCGUUGAGUAAUAUUAUAAACAGACCAGCAUGCCAACAUGUUGCCUUUAUCUGCAUUUGCACCUGCACCUUACUUGUUUCUUUCUUUUGUUUUUGACUCCAAAACCAAAAGUAAGUUUGAAACAUUAAAACAAGCUUGAGGUGCAGGUGCAGGUGCAGGUGAAUGCCAUGUUGGUGUUUUGACACUUGUCGUACUGCCUCUUUACUUUCCUUAAUUUGGUCCCUGUGUGGUAACUCGCAGCUUCAAGCUGUCACAAAUGUACGGGCUUUUUUAUAUCUUCAAGGGAAGGGUUAGAGAACUCUUGUGCUAUAAUCCAAGAGAACAAAUGGGUUUUUCAACAGCGACCGAGUCUGACCAUUAACUUCUUUAUGUAGGUGGCUGGUGUUUAUAGAGGUGAUGAUGAUGAAGACAUCGUGCAGCCACAAAUCCAUGGUUGCGGAAGACUAUUUUAAGGGUUUUUUGGGAGAUCUUUGGUGUACAUGAAGGACGGAUCCAUGAAUAUGCAAGCUGGUGCCUAUCCUAGAUAUAUAGUUCUCGAUCUUCCACUUGGGCGCUAGGGUUUUCAAGUGCUGCUGCUUUGUAGUUUGCUGACGAAGAUGCAUUAAUUUGCGUGGAAAAGGAAAGCCAUAUAUAUAUAUAAGAGAUCUUGGGAUGAAAUUAUCUUCACCAUUCCAUCUCAGCACUCUCAGUUCUAGCUUAGCUUCAUGCAGAGUCAUGGAAACCAAAUUCACAUGCAUAUCAAUUUGGUGCAAUGAAAAACCAGCUCAAGGGAGUAAAACCCAGUAAUAAACUGUGGAACGAUUGUUUGCCAAGGAGGAAUUUCGGGAAGGAGUGCAGGUAAAGAUUAGCUCUCCUCCAUUCUUAAUAGCGAUCGUUGCUUUAUUUGCUACGGAAAAGUGAAGUGCCAAGAGACUUGUUGUCAACAUGGCAUGUACAUAAUCAAUGGUAUUCUUGCAAAGUAAGAGAAGUGAAACCUCAAAUCCCAAUCCCAUAUUCGAUAAUCUUAGAAAAAAUAAAUUAGGCUAGUUGCAUGUAAUUAAUGAAGGAAUUAAAUUAAGACCACAUAUUUGAGAUGAUAUAUUAUCAAGCUAACAUUGUCAUCAAAACAACAUAGACGACAGAAACCAUGCAUGAACUCAAAUUAGGAAACUAAGAAAAUCUCGAUCUAUGUAUGCCAUGCAAAAUAUAAUAGCUAGCGUUCAGAAUAAAGGAGACGACGGUGUUUAGAAAAUAUGCAUCAUUAAUGAAUUAUCAUGGUCCUUAUUCUAUGUUCUGAUAUAAAAGUCAUGUUACUUCAUUAAAUAAUUGAAAUUAAAUUCCCUGUCAUUUGAAUGCAUAAUGCAUAUGUAUAAGAUCAUUCGCUCAUCAAUAGAGAAGUAUUUAUCUCACGAAGAAUACAAACACAAAAUCAAAACAAGUUCAGAAUGGAUCAUCAUGAGAGUAGGAUGUAUUUGAUAUAUACUAGGUUUGAGAGCUUUUCAAACUUGUAUUGUGUUGAUUAUUAAUGAUUUUUCUCCUUGCUUUUGAUCGAUGUAAGCAUAGCUUAAUCCAACAAAAUACUUAAUUGUAUAUUCUUUAUUUUUUGUUUGUU